CUACACUUACAGUCUGUUGAGUGAAAAGUUAUGAAAUAAGAUAAAAGCUCAGUGUUUCAAACAUAAGAAACAGCAUACACAAUACUGGACAUCACAGGACCCUCUCCGGCUGGAUACCAGGCUGUAGAACCACCAGAUGCUUCAGAUGAGAAAGGUUGGAUCUGUUUCACAGGGAAGGGGCUAAACUGUUUCAAGAGGCGACCACGCGCUGGGCACUCUGUGUCUCGCUCUGUCACCCAGGCUGGAGUGCAGUGGUGUGAUCUCGGUUCACUGCAACCUCAACCUCCUCGGCUCAUGUGGAUCCUCCCACCUCAGCUUCCUAAGUAGCUGAGACUACAGUACUUUGCAACCUACCAAGUAUCAUCACAAGAGCUAUGAAAGUGAAGAGAGACAUACGUUAUCUAAGAAUCUGAGAGAGAUGACUCAGUCAGCAUCCUCUCUCUUGGUGUACAAUGGUAGGGACAGCUACUGUGUCAUCUGGAGCAUGACAAUGAGAACACAGACACUGGAUCGUCCUGAUAUAGCCUGCAGUCCAUCUGGGCCUCUAGACAUUCAUUUGCAUUUGCAUUCAUGCGCAUCCCCUACUACUCCAACUCCUACACCUUUUGGCAGGAUAUAUCCACACAGCUGGAUUGGAAUCACAAGAUGUUUUUAUUUUUUGCCUCAUUAAACUAGUUUCUCUCAAGCAAUGUGUGUUUUCUUUAUAUUCCAGCCCAGAAAUCAUUUAACAGGAAGAAGGCAUCUCAGAGAUGUGCUUCAGAAAAGGCUUAUGAAUGGGACACAAAAACAUAUUGC
rnacentral:lncRNA from 1 species